GACGAACCGUGCUAACGUUGUUCGGAAUCACUGGGCUUAAAGGGCGCGUAGGCGGGCACGUAAGUCAGGGGUGAAAGCCCACGGCUCAACCGUGGAAGGGCCUUUGAUACUGCGUGUCUGGAGGGAGGUAGGGGCGUGCGGAACUUCCGGUGGAGCGGUGAAAUGCGUAGAUAUCGGAAGGAACACCGGUGGCGAAAGCGGCGCGCUGGACCUCUUCUGACGCUGAGGCGCGAAAGCCAGGGGAGCAAACGGG
rnacentral:rRNA from 1 species